rnacentral:snRNA from 1 species
ACUGCUUCUUGGCCUUUUGGCUAAGAUCAAGUGUAAAGUUCUUCCUCCAAAUAGUCACACUCCUAAAAAUAAAUUUAGCUCUAAAUAUCCAUGAUGAUCUGUAUCCAUAGAUUUAUCCAAUGGCAGAUCAAACAUGCUCAUAAAAAUUAAUUGCAUCUGUACUGGACAUCUAUAGCUU